rnacentral:lncRNA from 1 species
CUUCAGGCCCUCCACUCGGGUCCUGCUGUUCUCGUGGACCCUGCAGUCCCAGGCCUGCCCCUUCUCUGGGCCAGUCCCGUGGCCCUCACAGACAGAGCCUGGAGGGCCCCACGCUGCCCCCCGAGUGCCCUGGGAGUUGGGCAGCCAUCAGUGCCUCCCCGAGCUGCCGGGUCACCAUCCGGGGGACUGAGAUCUGGCCCCAGUCCUACCCAAACACAAACCUUUGCAUACCCCACCCAGGGCCUACAGCCACACUGCAGGGCACCCCUGCACCCUGCUGCCUGGUCCAGCCAACUCACCUCAGAAGCCAAGCCUCUUUGCUUCCCCUGGGGCCUACUCUCUGCCCACCUCUCUCUGGAGGACGCCCCCAGCCCCAAGGCCCCGUGGGCCCUCACCUCCCUCAGGAUCUCAGCAGUCCCUCUUCAAGCCCAGGCCAGCCCAGGCCCUGGCUCUCUGGGGUCUUGUGCCCUCUGCUCCCACCAGCCCUACUGGAACCAGCCUCUCUGCCACUCUGUCUCUCAUCCUGUCACCACCUCUACCUCCACCUCUCUCCUCACAGACCCUAGGCCCCCUCCUCUCUCACCUCUGCUUGCCACCCCCAUUUAUCUCUGUCUCCUAGUACUCUCAGUCACUCUCCUGUCAGCCAUCUCUGGACCUGUCACCUUCUCCCCCCAUCACCUCUCCUUGUCACCCCCUCCAACUCUGUCCCCUCCCUCUCCCUGUCACCCUUAUCUAGUCCUGUCACCCCUCCACUCCUGUUACCUGUCCUCUGCCCACCACCCCGUCCCCCAGUCACCUUUGCCAUCACCCUCCCCCCUCCACUUCCUCCACUCCUUCUCCCCUUCCCACCAUUCCGCUCACCCCUUUCCCCCUGUCCCUCCUCCCAGUCCCUGCCACCUGUCCCCCCUCGGCCCCCAGCCCCCCUCAACCCCCUGCUGUGUCAGCCCUGGCCCCGCCCCUCACCUCGGGCUCAGCGGGGUUUCGGGGCCGGGGGCCCUGGCCCCGGCUCGGUCCGGUCCGGUCCCUCCCCGCCCCCCCUCCGGCUCUCCCUCUCGAUUCUCCCUUUUUUUUUUACUCCAACCACACAAAAAUGGUGAAUGGACCUGCAACAGCUGGAGUAACCAGCCAAUCAGCGGCCACAACCCCGCUGACCGGCGCCAGCCUAGGCCAAUAGAUUUUCGCAACCUGACUGACUCCGCCUCUCGGCGACGAGCGACGUUCACAGCAACCAAUCGCGCCCAACGGGCAGCGCUAGGGGGAGGGGCCAAAAUCAAAGACCAGCCUCCCUCCGGACCGACACCAACCUGA